UGGGCGCAGCGGCAGUAAGCGGCGGCGGCGGCGGCGAGGAGGCGUUGGUGCCUUGAGGGCUGGAUUUGGAGCGGAGCCGUGGAGGGAAAAGCACGACCUUCAGAAAUGGACAGGAUUUAUUCGGAAUCAAAUGAGGAAAAUGAUCAUACAGAACGCAUCAGAAGGCAAAGGCGUUCCUCGAUUUUAAAAGCUCCGCGGAGUCCUCUCAAGGACCUUGGGAGUGGGAAUGAAUUCACUCAGGUAGGCAUUAACCCUUUACUUGUCAAUAUUUUUGAUGACU
rnacentral:lncRNA from 1 species